rnacentral:rRNA from 1 species
UGCCUCAGUAACGGCGAGUGAAGCGGCAACAGCUCAAAUUUGAAAUCUGGCGCCCCCGGCGUCCGAGUUGUAAUUUGUAGAGGAUGCUAUUGGGUUGCCACCGGUCUAAGUUCCUUGGAACAGGACGUCACAGAGGGUGAGAAUCCCGUACGUGACCGGCCAGGCGCCCUCCGUAUAGCUCCUUCGACGAGUCGGGUUGUUUGGGAAUGCAGCCCUAAAUGGGAGGUAAAUUUCUUCUAAAGCUAAAUACCGGCCAGAGACCGAUAGCGCACAAGUAGAGUGAUCGAAAGAUGAAAAGCACUUUGGAAAGAGAGUUAAAAAGCACGUGAAAUUGUUGAAAGGGAAGCGCUUGCAAUCAGUCUCGACGGCGGCUGUUCGGCCCCUCUUCUGAGUGGUUUAUUCAGCCGCCGCCGGGCCAGCAUCAGUUUCGGCGGUCGGACAAAGGCGUGGGGAAUGUAGCUCCCUCGGGAGUGUUAUAGCCCCGCGUGCAAUACGGCCCGCCGGGACUGAGGUCCGCGCUUCGGCUAGGAUGCUGGCGAAAUGGUUGUAAGCGGCCCGUCUUGAAACACGGACCAAGGAGUCUAACAUCUACGCGAGUGUUUGGGUGUCAAACCCGUGCGCGCAAUGAAAGUGAACGGAGGUGGGAACCGCAAGGUGCACCAUCGACCGAUCCUGAUGUCUUCGGAUGGAUUUGAGUAAGAGCGUAGCUGUUGGGACCCGAAAGAUGGUGAACUAUGCCUGAAUAGGGUGAAGCCAGAGGAAACUCUGGUGGAGGCUCGCAGCGGUUCUGACGUGCAAAUCGAUCGUCAAAUUUGGGUAUAGGGGCGAAAGACUAAUCGAACCAUUGACCGGCGUAUCCACU